rnacentral:rRNA from 1 species
AUUCGUCUGGGGGGGAGAGUGGCGAACUGGUGAGUAACACGUGGGUGACCUGCCCCGAAGACGGGGAUAACCGUCGGAAACGACGGCUAAUACCCGAUAUACUCGGUGAUUCGGUUCAUCGAGUAAAGGCUCCGGUGCUUCGGGAUGGGCCUGCGGCCUAUCAGCUAGUUGGUGGGGUAAUGGCCCACCAAGGCGAAGACGGGUAGGGGGCGUGAGAGCGCGGNCCCCCACACUGGCACUGAGAUACGGGCCAGACUUCUACGGAAGGCAGCAGUCGGGGAUAUUGCACAAUCGGCGAAAGCCGGAUGCAGCGACGCCGCGUGGGCGAUGAAGGCCUUCGGGUUGUAAAGCCCUUUUAUGGGGGAAGAGACAAGGACGGUACCCCAAGAAUAAGCGUCGGCUAACUACGUGCCAGCAGCCGCGGUAAAACGUAGGACGCAAGCGUUAUCCGGAUUUACUGGGCGUAAAGAGCGUUGAGGCGGUUCCGUAAGUUGGGCGUGAAAGCCCCGGGCUUAACCCGGGGAGGUCGUUCAAUACUGCGGGACUUGAGGGCAGCAGAGGGAGGCGGAAUUCCCGGUGUAGCGGUGAAAUGCGUAGAUAUCGGGAGGAACACCAGUGGCGAAGGCGGCCUCCUGGGCUGUUUCUGACGCUGAAGGCGAAAGCUAGGGGAGCGAACGGGAUUAGAAACCCCGGUAGUCCUAGCCGUAAACGAUGGAUGCUGGGUGUGGGGGGUAUAGAUCCCCUCCGUGCCGAAGCUAACGCGUUAAGCAUCCCGCCUGGGGAUUACGCCCGCAAGGCUUAAACUCAAACGAAUUGACGGGGGCCCGCACAAGCAGCGGAGCGUGUGGUUUAAUUCGAUGCUACACGAAGAACCUCACGGGGGCUUGACAUGUAGGUAGUAGUGAAGCGAAAGCGGAACGACCCUUCGGGGAGCCAACACAGGUGCUGCAUGGCUGUCGUCAGUUCGUGCCGUGAGAUGUCGGGUUAAGUCCCGUAACGAACGCAACCCUUGCCCUUAGUUACAUGUGUCUAAGGGGACUGCCCGGGACAACUGGGAGGAAGGUGGGGAUGACGUCAAGUCAGCAUGGCCUUUAUGUCCAGGGCUACACACACGCUACAAUGGCCGGUACAAUGGG